rnacentral:rRNA from 1 species
GAUGAACGCUGGCGGCGUGCCUAACACAUGCAAGUCGAGCGAUUUACUUCGGUAAAGAGCGGCGGACGGGUGAGUAACGCGUGGGUAACCUGCCCUGUACACACGGAUAACAUACCGAAAGGUAUGCUAAUACGAGAUAAUAUGCUUUUAUCGCAUGGUAGAAGUAUAAAAGCUCCGGCGGUACAGGAUGGACCCGCGUCUGAUUAGCUAGUUGGUAAGGUAACGGCUUACCAAGGCGACGAUCAGUAGCCGACCUGGGAGGGUGAUCGGCCACAGUGGAAGUGAGACACGUUCCAAACUCCUAGGGGAGGCAGCAGUGGAGAAUAUUGCACAAUGGGCGAAAGACUGAUGCAGCAACGCCGCGUGAGCGAUGAAGGCCUUCGGGUCGUAAAGCUCUGUCCUCAAGGAAGAUAAUGACGGUACUUGAGGAGGAAGCCCCGGCUAACUACGUGCCAGCCGCCGCCGUAA